UGCCAGCAGCCGCGGUAAUACGGAGGGUGCAAGCGUUGUUCGGGAUCAUUGGGCGUAAAGCGCGUGUAGGCGGCUUGGCAAGUCGAUUGUGAAAGCCCGGGGCCCAACCCCGGAAUUGCAAUCGAAACUGCUUCGCUCGAGUCCCGGAGAGGAGAGCGGAAUUCCCGGUGUAGAGGUGAAAUUCGUAGAUAUCGGGAGGAACACCAGCGGCGAAGGCGGCUCUCUGGACGGUGACUGACGCUGAGACGCGAAAGCGUGGGGAGCAAACAGGAUUAGAUA
rnacentral:rRNA from 1 species